rnacentral:rRNA from 1 species
GAUGAACGCUGGCGGCGUGCCUAAUACAUGCAAGUCGAGCGAACAGACGAGGCGCUUGCUUCUCUGACGUUAGCGGCGGACGGGUGAGUAACACGUGGAUAACCUACCUAUAAGACUGGGAUAACUUCGGGAAACCGGAGCUAAUACCGGAUAAUAUAUUGAACCGCAUGGUUCAAUAGUGAAAGACGGUUUUGCUGUCACUUAUAGAUGGAUCCGCGCCGCAUUAGCUAGUUGGUAAGGUAACGGCUUACCAAGGCAACGAUGCGUAGCCGACCUGAGAGGGUGAUCGGCCACACUGGAACUGAGACACGGUCCAGACUCCUACGGGAGGCAGCAGUAGGGAAUCUUCCGCAAAGGGCGAAAGCCUGACGGAGCAACGCCGCGUGAGUGAUGAAGGUCUUCGGAUCGUAAAACUCUUUUAUUAGGGAAGAACAAAUGUGUAAGUAACUAUGCACGUCUUGACGGUACCUAAUCAGAAAGCCCCGGCUAACUACGUG